UUAAUGCCCGUUUAUUUGGUCGAACUGACGUUCACGCUCGCGGUUGUUCGUGCAUGCGCACGAUUCGUUUUCCGUCUCUUCACGUGUCGUUCAUUUUACUUUGAGAAACUCUCGGAGGAGGUUGACUCGAAAUCCAAAGUGAUCUGGCGAUUCCGGAGUGAUCUAGGAUCGUCUAAACUACGAAAUGAGAGCUAAGUGGCGUAAGAAGAGGAUGCGGAGGCUAAAGCGUAAGAGGAGGAAGAUGCGCGCGAGGUCUAAAUAAGUGGCUCCUCUGCAUCCCACCAGUCUCUCCGUGGGAGGAACAGACCUAUGAUGUUUCACCAUUUGACAAACACUCCUAGCUGAAUAAAAAUUUAUCUCAAGGAGGUGAAUCUUCAGUGGACAUGUUUUUCGUACAGAGAGAAUUUUGUACACACGAAUCUUGUUUGGUUAAAUACAUAAACUAUUCAAGAGAAAACAUAGACUUCCAUC